rnacentral:lncRNA from 1 species
AAAGGCAGGGGAAACGUGAUAUGUCAGUAUGAAACCAAAGGGCAAUUAAGGGUGGGCCUGUGUACAUAAUUUAAUAAAUUUUUCUUGGCUUUCAAGAACUUCAGUCAUUGCCAUGUCAAUUCAGAAAGAGAAGAAAAAUACAAAUGAAGAAAACUUACUAUGAAAAGUUUGCCAAUUACAAUUCUCUUUGAUUGAACAGCAAGACUGAACUGAUAAGGAUGUAAGCAGAAACCAAAUUUAUUCUUUUCUGCUAGUCCUUGUUAAAACCUAACCCUAAGUAAAUACACUUAUUUUGCCAAAUAAUCUUUUUUUUCCUUUUGCCCCUGGGUGAAAUCAGGUGUAUCACAAAGUGUUUAUAAACUUUAUUUUGGAAAAAAAUUUCCAAAAUUUCUCUAUUUCCUUCUAGACUCAAAAAUGGUUUUAUUCAGGUUAUGAUGUCCCUAACAGGGAAUUAAUCACAUGAUUUCUUGGGUGGGCUUCAGAAAAGCUGGGAGAAGUGAUAGUUUUUAGUCUGUUUCAUUCCUUUCUUCCUUCCCUACACUUCUUCUUUUUUUUUUUUUUUUUAAGAUUAUUUAUUUAUUUAUUCAUGAGACACAGGCAGAAAUAUAGGCAGAGAGAGAAGCAGGUUCCCCACAGGGAGCUCUGAUGCAGGACUUAAUCCCAGGACCCUAGGAUCACGCCCUGAGCCUAAGGCAGAUGCUAAACUGCUGAGUCACCCAGGUGUCCUGUCUUCCUUCCCUACACUUCUCUGCAAGGAGAGGCAUUUAGGGGAAAGAGGCUCAAGCUUAGGUGGGAGUCACAGUUAAAAUCUGUCCUUGGUUUUCUCUUAGCUGGAACAUGUACAGACAAGCUCAUGAGAUAUUCUGGGUUUCCUAAACCAUUUCUGCUGUGGGACUCUUGACUGUAGGUUCCUUGGGGCAGGUUCUUUCUUCCAAGUCUUUCAAAUUGGGCACAGACCACCCAAUCCCUUGGCUUAUACGUAUGAACUCUGCACAGAUUUUCUUUGUUGGGAUCUCUUUAUCCCUUUGGGUGAUCUUUUGGGAUAAUGUCCCCUUUAACAUGGAUUUAGAGGAGUCCUUCUCUUGGACCAAGCAAAAACUCAUAUAUUCUUUCUUUCUUACAGAUGGAAGGGCAGCAGUCUACCAGUGUAGCUCUGAUUCUCUUUGCUACCCAAGACAAAACUUCAAGAUUUCAGAGAUGAUGUGUCUAAAAUGAGGACCUAGGCUGGAUGCUUUAGUAUUACCAGUGAUGAUACUUAGUAUCCCAGCAAAACAGCUCUCAGACUCUGAGGAUUAAGGUACAAAAUGAACAUAAGAUAUGUGAAGCUAGGGACAAGGGCAAGGGGCAAGAUUAGAUUAUUUAAAAGAUAAGCACUCUCUAGCCCAGAAAUGAGAUUCAGUAAUAGAGUUUGCCUCUGUUCUAAUGAGUGACCACAUUACCAACCAAAGAAGGAAUUUUUUUUUUCCAAAGAAAGAAUUAAUGCACAAAGAGGGAACACUCAUUUGCAGUAUAAGAAACAUGACUGUAAAGAUGAAGGUGUUGACUUGCUCUUUCAGUGACAUGCACAAGACUCACUGGCAAGCUGCCUCAACUUGCACGCUCUGAUGGCAGAGAUGCCUGAUGUAAGCAUAACACAUUCAAAGUCAUAACCUGAUGCCAUGGGCAUUUAUUUUAAUAAAUAAUGCUGUGAAUUUUCACUCUUUUGAUUCAGUGUGUACAGAGCAACAUUGUCUUAAAAUUUUGUUAUCUAGGGGCACCUGGGUGGCUCAGUCAGUUAAGUGUCUCCCUUUGGCUCAGGUCAGGAUUCCGAGAUCCUGAGAUGGAGCCCUACAUUGGGCUCCUUGCUUAGCAGGAAGCCUCCCUUUCUCUCGCCUGCCACUACUCCUUCUUGUGCUCUUUCUCUCCCUGUCAAAUAAAUAAAUAAAAUCUUUAAAAAAUUAGUUAUUGGGACCCCUGGGUGGCUCAGUGGUUGAGCAUCUGCCUUUGGCUCAGGUCGUGUUCCUGGAGUACAGGGAUCAAGUCCUGCAUCAGGGUCCCCUCAGAGCUUGCCUCUCCCUCUGCCUGUGUCUCUGCCUCUCUCUCUCUGUGUCUCUCAUGAAUAAAUAAAUAAAAUCUAAAAAAAUUUUUAAAAAUUUUUAAAAAUUAAAAUUUUAAAAAUAUCUAUUGGUGAAUGAUAAACUACCUUGAAACUUAGUAGGUUAGAAUAAUAACUAAUUCUCAUGGUUUUACUAGUUGACUAGGAAUAGCAGGGAAGUUUUUACUCAAAGUUUCUCAUGGUAGUUGGGAUUGGGGACAUCUGAAGGCUCACCAGGACCAGAUGUCCAUGAUAGUCUCUUCAUUCACACAUCUGUGUAACACUUCAUUUGGGGAACUGGCUGACAUCUCUUUCUCCUUCUGACUUUGCCACAUGUCUUCCUUGCCUUUGCUCACAGCAUGGUAGACUGCUUACAUAAACUCUUGACUUCCCAGAGACAGAAUUUCCAUAGAUCUAGGCAGAAGCUGUAAGACUUUUCAUGCCUUAACGGUGGUGGUCACAUGGCCUCACUUCUCACCUGUUCUGUGAGAGAGAAGUUGAAGGGCCAAGCCAACAAGCCCAUUGGAAGCCAUCUUUGGAGAUUAGAUACAACAGAGGGCUAAAAGCCAGAGCAAUUUCUUAAGAUACUUAGCCUAGAAAUGACACCCACCUUUUAUUUAUCUUCAUAUUAAUUUUAAAAAAGUACAGAGACAUGUACAAAAACAAAACAAAACAAAAACAUUUUAGAAUGGUGUUGAGUGAAAAGUAAAUCUUACCACUGCUAGCUUUCCUAAUUUCAUCUCCACAUCACUCAUAAGCAUCUUUGCUUGCAUUUUUUCAUCAUAGUUACAAAAUAAAACAAUGUAUUUACAGUUCUUUUGCUUGAUUUAUCACUUUAGAAAAUAAAUUCAAACUCCUAUCUUCAGAAAUGGAUAAAUUGGUAUCCUUUAUGCAUUUUUAUCUUUCCACACAGUUCUAUUUUGUUUAUUGUCCUCUUCAUCAUUUUUAACAAUAUAUUUGGCUGUCUGUUCCAUGCUUAAUUAAAAGUAUGGGUAUUUCUUGG